rnacentral:RNase_P_RNA from 1 species
CGGGACAGCGGGUUCGUCGCUCGCGCACGAAUGAGGCGCGAGAGGAAAGUCCGGGCAACAAAGAGCACCGCACUCCCUUCGGGGAGCUGUCGGCAACGGCAGAGUAAUGUGACAGAAAACAACCGCCCAAGCGGCCCAUCGCAGGCCGACGGCAAGGGUGAAAAGGCGGGGUAAGAGCCCACCGGAUGCCACAGCGAUAUGGCAUGCCGCACAUCUUGCGGGUUGCAAGGUCAAGUACACCGGCAGGGAGCUUCGGCUCCAUCGGGCUGCUCGUCCGAUGCCGGGGGGUAGACUGCUCAGAUAAAUGACGGACGGGCCGGCAAAGCUCCGCGAUGCGGAAAGCAUGCCGCCCACAUAACCCGGCUUAUACGCCGUCCCGCGCG